GCAAGGGUGGGGGUCGGGUCAAGGCUGCUGUUGGCGGCCUGGAUGCAAGCGAUGGUGGCGGCCGGCGGGGGUCUGGCGGGCGAGGGAAGGAGCAGCAUGGCUGGUGAUGGGCCAAGCGCCACCAGAGGAGGGUGAAGGGGCGACUUCGUGCUUCGCAACAACAGUUCGUGUCCAUGAAAAAUUUGCGGUGGUGAUGAUUGAUCUAAGUAUCAGAUUGGUUAUAUGGAAAUGGGGCUUUACUUCUGGAGAUGUUCCCAAUGAAGGAGCUUCGAGGCGAGCACUGCAAUGAUGUAGUUUUGUAUAUGGCAUAAUCUGUAGGAACCCUCUCUUAGUUUCUUUUUGUUCUUCGUUUCGCUCCUGUUGAUUAAUGCCAAUUAAUCUAGCUAUUUUUGUUGUACCCAAUGCCAAUUAAUCUAGCUAUUUAUCAUGUGUUUUGUUUCAAAGGUAAUAUGCCCUAAAUCAUUUACUGAUCUUUCAGUUCUUUUUUGGAACUAGGCGAGUAUAAACAAUUUGUUAUCUUCCAUCCUAAAUUGUUUCCCAUGCCAUCCAUGUAAGUUUUAGUACCUUUCCAUGUAGGUAGUGGGAGAUCAAGUGUGUGCAUUUCAUGACAUAAAUUUACUUUGUUUUGUUUCAAAGGUAAUAUGCCCUAAAUCAUGUACUGAACUUUCAGUUCUUUUUCGGAACUAGGUGAGUAAAAACAAUUUGUUAUUUGCCAUCCUGAAUUAUUUGCCAUGCCAUCCAUGUAAUUUUUAGUACAUUAUACUUAGUUUGGAGUAUGAGAGUAGUUUGUAACUGAAGGAAGAUUGACGCCAUGGCUGCAACUGGUUCAGUGACUAAGAUUAUUUCAGGAAUAGUGUACAUUUGGUGCUCCCUGCACUUAAUUUUGGACGUUGAAUACUACUCUUGCUUUGACAGAUUUUAUUAGGAAACCUUAUCUGUUAAUACUUUCUUGUCAAACUCACAACAAGUUAUAAUAAUCAAACUAUAUAGUGAUGUUGAGGGAUUAACCAGGACAAAUGCAAGCCAACGUCCCAGUGAGUCCCAGGCUCCUUGAGUAGCUGGCUCCACUGGGUACAUAGUCGAUUACCUUAUGUGUGGUUUCUUUAAUCACCGAUCGGUUAUUGGGAAUCCGAAUCUGCGAUUAGUAUGCAGUAGUAAAGAGUUUUCUGUUUGCAAAAGAAAGCAAGUUUAUGUACUUUGUCGCCACUGCCAGCAUAGAAAAAUUGUUUAUGUUGUAUUGCUGGGAUAAAUGUGUCUUAUACAUUGUUUUGUUCUUAUAGUCAUAACCGAGAUAUUUGUGGUGCUUGAUUUCUUCCUAUGUAUUUGUUUUCUUUUUCGUGAUUUCCUAUAUAUUUGUUGUAUAAACUGAACCUAAUUAACGUGUGUAAUGAUGAAGCACGUGGGGUGCAGAUGAGGAUGAAAUGAGCCAGGGAGAAAUAUUGCUGGUAGAAAAACAGGCCUCCCAGGCCAUCCUGACCAAAAAUGUAUUCCCCGAUUUGGUUAAAUAGUCCUGUAUUGGCCCCUGGCUGCCUCAACUGGUGGAUGCCGCCGGCUGCCCAAUGACCAUCAACACAUACGAGCUCGGUUUAAUCAGAGGUGAGGCCUUGCUUCUUCCGCAGUUUUCUUCUCUUCUUUUGUGUGGAUUUGCAUCUAGCAAAAUUGAAAUUUCAUGGUGGGUCAGUUUGGAGGCUUCAUAUUUCACAAUUAUUAUUGUGUGGUUCACCCUAGAAUUUGAUUUUAAUGCGUGCUUGCGCAUAUUUGGUUAGGAUUAUCAUGCUUGUUUUUAUAUGUAAUUGCUAUGUUUCGAGGCUACUUAUUUUAUUUAACCCAUUAUUUGCCAUUUGAAAAUAAUGUUGGCAUUGACAGUUGCUAAUUACAAAUGCUUAUCAUUGGUUACCGCGUAAUUCUUGCUUGGUUUUUGGUGUGAUUUCAUCUUAGUUUAUACUUGUGUAUGGACCACCCACGUUUUGUGAAACAAUAGUACACCCAAAAGGAGAAGUUGUUGAGAUGAUAGUCAUGACAGCCUAUAACACAGGCGCGGUGCUUGAAGCUCAUGAGUAAGAAGACAAGAAAAAACCAUGCUAAAGCUGGAGGGAUUCACAGAAAAUGCAUAGCAAAAAAAUCACUAGGAAAUCUACCUUCACUACAUUUUGGAGUGUAGAACAUGGACCAUAUGGGUCCAAGUAGAGAACAUAAAUAUCCACUGUUAUUUCUAUUUUCAUCAGUUAAUUUUGAUAUUGUUUCGGACAAUAGAUAACCUAGGCUUCGUAGCUGGUAAUAUUUAUCAGAGUUUUAGUCUAAUGUACUUUUCUGUAGGGGUGUUGCCACGAAGUUCAGUCUACAAACCUCUGUUGUGUAAACAUAGUGCUGAUCUGCUGAACUAAAAUUAUGGCCCUGCUUACCUGUGGUGCUGCACUUUACAACAAUUCUACUUGUUCUUUCAUAGCCCACCUUAUGUGUGCCAUCUUCUACUCCUCCCUCCGUCUCAAAAUAAGUGACUCAAGUUUAUACUAACUUUAGUACGAAGUUAGUACAAACUUGAGUCACUUAUUAUUGUUCCAUUUUUUUUAGUUAUUGAUCAUGCCAUUUUUCUUUCUGCCUUUGUAGCUGAAAGAUUAGUGAGACUGACUAAAUUCUGAACAUGUUCCAUGUGAGAGAAAUAGCAUGUUGAUUUCAUCUUGAAAUAAUCAUAGCUGAGGGACGAGGUCCGUAACUGAGGGUCAUGUGCAGAGAUGGAGGAAGAAGUUGCGAGGCUUGGAACUCUUACAGCAGUGAGGACAAUGCCUCUUUAGUUGUAAUUGUGAUACUCCUGAUGUGCAAGUAAACACUCAUGUGACACUCCUUAUGCUAAAAUGUUGGUUGUUAGUAUAGAGGUGGUAACAUUAUUUGGUUCUCUUGUAUUGAUUUCAUAAUACAUGAUGUAAUACAAUCCACAUUGCAUUAUA